UGGUGACCUAAUCUGCCAACCUCCUGUUUCCACCCUCCCGCUAAAACAAGUCACUACAAUAUGUCUAGCACUCAGAGAGCUCAGCAGCUCUCACCUGGGGAGGUGCCUCUCUACUGCUUUGGGAAGGUGCGGCUGGAGUCUGACCAGAAGUGUCUAGAUCAGAAAAGGAAUUCGGAGGGGAAAGAUUUGUAUGGCUCACAAGAUUUCCGGUGUUUGUUUGGUUUUUUUCAGUCUCCUGUAACAACAACGGCAGCUGCUCAGCUUCCUUUCUAGAUAACCUUCUUCCUGUUACCCAGCAUGCUUAUUAUCUACUACAGACAGACUGGCAAGAGUAACCGGAAAACUGAUACCUUAUCUCUACCUCUCAAGGAGCUUAUUGAGGAGUUGGAAUGUGUUGCAAUGGUAAUUGAUUGUAUAAAUACAAGUGAUAUAUAUAUGGAUAUGAGGCUACACCUUUGACAGAGACAGCACCUGCUAGACAGGAACCAGGCUGUAGGCACCAGGGCUUGUGCCUACAAAAAAACCACCAUUUAAAAUCAGAGUCAGAAAAGCAGCAGCUCAGGCUUAGCAGCGGAUUGGGGGUUGGCAGUCAGGACUCCUGGGUUCUAUUCCCAGUUCUGCCACUGCCUUGCUGUGUUGUUAGCCAAGUCUUGACCCCUUUGGACCUGGGUCUCCCCAUCUGUGGAAAAGGGUUCACCAUACAUACCUGCCUUGCAAAGGAUGUUAUGAGGAUGAAUCAGUUUGUUUGCGUGGGGGUUUUCCACGAAAUGUCUUUUUAGUCUGGGCGUGGAUUUAGAACAAGGUAAUAUGUAAACACAACAAUAAGAGUAAAUAGGAUUUUCAAGCUAAUAGACUAAUUGAAAUGAAUGGACUCAGCAGUGAAGGCAGGCUGUGAGAGCUGAACCGGAACUGAUGAGUGACCGGAGUCAAGCAGUGCUGCAGCACUUCGCUCAUUUCCCUCUCGGAGAACAAGACAGGCAAACCUUAGGCCCUGGUGCAGGCGUGACCCUGCUGUUACCCGUGUGAACCUGACAGGAGGGGAUGUUCUUAACAAGACCAACGCAACAAAGACCAAAAAGCCCUGCCUCCAUCCCUCCAGCUGUGGGGAGAUGAUGUAACCUGGGGUUGGGAUACUCUGGCUCUAAGCCCCAGGUGAACAGAGUCUACUGAGGCACCUGUAUUCCCCAGCUAUUUUGAAGUAUCGAUCAUAAUCUGCGGCAAACAAAGCAGAUUAAUAAAGUUGCAGUCAACCUCUCCGCUUAAAGGUAUAUUUUCAGCUUGUUUAGUAUAAUGGCCUCUCAGUGCAAGUCCUUGGCUGGCAAGACAUGUACUACUAUAAUUUUCAUUAGGAUCUUCCUGUUUUCUUCUGAGAGAACUGAAAACUUAGCAUGUCACCAGCAUUCUUUGUGGUCAUUUGACACACUCCAGCUGCUUUGUGGUGACACAGAGAAGCUUGAUGCUUCUCAAAUUUGUCUCGAGUCUUUUUCCACUUAGGAAAUUCAGACUCAGUGAAAGUAUCACCUGCGCACUUAGUCAAAAGUAUUUUGCAUCUAAAAGGCUUACAACAGACGCAACAAAGUGCUUUAUCACUAGCUUCAAAAUAAUGGAGCCAUUGAUAGUCAUCAACCAGGAUGAGCAGGAAGAACGGCCCUGUUUUCUAAAGCAACACAUGAGGAAAGACUUGUGUCAUGAAGUGGUUGACCAGGUGUCUCAGAAGUACCAACAGUAUCAGGUAACUGGCAUUUGGUUCUUGUUGAGGGGGAUAAAAGAGAUAGGUCAGUGCUAUAACUGCAGGAGUAGAUUCACUUGUUGGAAGCGUAGUAGCUUCCUCCUAUUUAAUCAGCCAUGUUCCAAGUGAUUUCAGGUUAGCACCUUGAAAAUGGACACUUGGGUUUUGUGCUUUGCUCAGUCACUGCUCACUUAGGAAGAAUGGUGUGGGGUUGCAGAAUUAAAAAACAUACUCUGGCAACCUCAAACAUUGAGCUGGCUUCUUGGUUUUAUACAGUUGCUUUCUUUGUAGGGCAGUCUAGAAUGUCGUAGAGUGAAGAAAGGGAACAGCCAACACCUGAUCUGUGGUUUACACUGGGAAAUAAUUGCUUUUAUCUUUUGCUUUUGUAACUGUAACAUGCUGUAGGGGAUACGCAGAGUUGGGAGCCACGGUUACCCUUCUGCCUCAGCAAGCAUGUGCUUUGCUGGAGGUUAGAUUAGGUGUUAGCUCCCUGCCAUGCCAAUCUGUCUUUCUUGUCAACAAACUCCUCAUGUCUCUCACAGCCCAAACCUUGCCUAGCAGUUAACAGUUGUGAAUUCCCGCAGCCCUGAGCUCCUCAGAGAUCUUUCUCUGCAAUGCACAGCCCCUGUCACUGGUUAUUCACAGGAGGUAUUGAGUUUGCUGCUCUUUUAAAGACUCAAUACAUUACAGCUCAUUAACUUAACUUGGGUAAAUACACACUUCCCUUCAAGCACAGCACUGAAUUGGUUUAUAGUCAAAAAUAAAACAAGUUUAUUAACAGAGGGACAUAGGCUAAGGCAGUGGUUCUCAACCUUUAUUCAUUUGCGGACCCCUAAAAAUUGUCAAAAUGGAGGUGCAGACCCCUUUGCAAAUCUUAGACAUAAUGUGUGAACCUUCCAGUGGUCUGUGGACCACAGGUUGAGAACCACUGGGCUAAGGGAUACCGAGUAGCAGGAGUAAAGGUAGAAAUAGUUAACAAACAAAUAAAAGUGAAAACACACAUCUCACCGACUAAAACAACCUCACAAGGUGCAAUCUUUGGUUAAGAUUGUUUUUCUCACCCCCAGUCUCCUUUCCAGCCUGGCCAGGAUCCAUCAGAGAUCAGGUCACUUGGUUCCUUUGUUUCCUAAGGUGAAGGAUCAAGAUGGAGUCUCUCUCUGUUCCUUAUAUCUCCAAAGGGAAUGUCUUUGUCUUACAAGUCAGGAAGCCCUCUUGGGUGCUCAGGUUGGCUCUGCUUGCUGUGUCCCCCAGGGAGCUGACCCCAUGUCAAUUUUGAAGUCUCCUGUGAUUUUACAAUGCCCAUGUCUUUCCUACAACCGCCAAGGCAAAUGAAUAGUUCAUUGUCUGUAUCUCUGGUCACAUCUGGCUCAGUUAGCCUCUAAGCCAGAGAUGUUUGCCUUCCCCUUUGUCUUGAAAAAAACUGAUAUGCCUCCUUUGUCUGUUUACGGUCUCCAAAACAUAAUAUCAGUGAGUAUUAAUAAUUUCAUCUACAAUGUUUUUACAGACAUUUCACAAGGAUAUUAAUGACCAGUGUGGUAUUAGUUUUCUAAUGAUGUAUUACACGACACCUUUCAGAUAUAAAUUAUAACAACAGGGAGUUGGGGUACAUUGAGCUGGUCAGCCCAGCUGAAACUCACUGCUACAUAUGAGCCCCUUGCCUUCUGGCAUAGGGAUGCUCUUCAGGUCACAGUGACCCCCCUGGUUCACCUCUCACCCAGUGACUUCAGCAAGGAGAAGAUUACAAAUCAGGUGGUAGCUGGAGGCCCUUUGACUCCCAGACAUGAUGGGAUUGGGGUCAGAGGUUGCCAAAGGACAGCCAAAGAAUUCUGGACUCCAUGAUACCUAGUCUCCCCCUCCCCCAUGUGAAAAGAGCACAUAGAACUUCCCAUUCUCUGGUACAUCAGGACACCCUGGGAGUCAGCCCCAGAGAAGUCCAGUUGGCUGGACUCAUCCCAGGUCUCUCUAGAGACAGGGGAUCAGAAGUCCUCCUGCACAGAAAGAGAGAAGGUGGGAAACAACCAACCUGGCUAAAGAAAGAGCAGGAGAAGUACAGGCAGAUGGGCCUCACCCAGACAUGCAGAAUUCCCCUUCACAAGAAGAGGAGACCUUGCUUGAUGAGUCAUUUCCCAGUUAGGAAAGAAAGGAGCCAGAGCCUGCUGCAGGGGAGACCUUCAGCUCAACCCUGGUUACCAAGAGCCAGCAGCAUGCCGUCUAUGUAUGCAAUGCAUGCAUUGCAUGCCCAAGAAUUCAAAACUUGGUCCAUCCACUGAGUGGCCAAUGAGCUGGAACUGGCCCAUAGGACAGUGCAUAUGAAAAUUUUCAAGUUGCUUGAUGUGUCUGCAAUAAACUGACCCACACCCGUAUAAAAGGGAUGGUAUCACUGCUGCAUUGUGUAUCAUCAGUUUUGUUGGCAGUUUGAUGGUAUGCAGGUUGAGUAUCGUACGGUGAAAUCACCAAAAGCCAGGGUUGCCUUUCAUAUUCUGUUUGAUAUUUUUUGAUCUAGGAAAUCGUCACUUGAGAUGGUACUGUCAUGAUAUGCUAAGUGAUUGUUGAUCUUUAGUUUAUACCAUUGAUGAUGAUGAUGGCUCAGUGGUAAUGGUUAAUGGGGCUGGUUGGAGGAGGACUUCAUUUUUUCCCCCCAGGCUGAUGGUGAGUCCAUUUCUUUCUUUUUGUCUCUGCCCAUCUUUCUCUCCCUGGGAUGGCAAAGUAAACACACUCUCACUCACUUGCCUCUGAGAACCUAUGAAGGAUAAGCUCACUUUUACUGAGUAAAUAGAGCUCAAUCAUCUGCAAAAAACAGUUUCACGUAUGAGUUCCUCAAAGACUUUUGUCUUUGCAGUAAGCCUCUGGGACGGAACAGUUUUUCAUCAGUUCUAUACAUUAUGUAGAUGCCCUUUUGAAGGUGGUCAGUUGCAUUAUUCAGAAUGGGUGUGAAGAAGAGACCAAAAAGGAUCAGUGCCAACCCACAGCCUUGUUUCACCCUAUUAGAUAUGGGAGUUGGUUUAGGGAGACUACCAUCUGAGAGUACUUGACCAGUCAUGUCUUUGUGGAAUUGAUGUAUGGGGUGUAGAAGCAGAGGUAGUACCUCUGAAAGUCAUGACUGCACUCUUUUGAGUGGUUCUUCCAGUCUUCACUUCACACCCAGCUUUCAUCUCACCAGCACCACACUGUCUCAGCAGUGGCCCUGACAUUUCUGACCACUACAUGAUAAGAGUGGAUGGAUGAGCAAUGAGUUUAAGUGCUGUGGCGGAGGGGGACACACUAUAUAAAUGAAUGUAUUAUUAUCUUUUGCUUGUUUAUUUCGCCUUCUUGAACUCUAUACUGGGGUUUAUUAAUUGGCAUUUAUAUUCCCAGGCCUUGAAAUGUUUCCUUGGAGAUGAACAGUAGACCUUUGGAGAAUUGCUUAUUAUAGUAUCAGGUGUGCAUGAAACUGAGUGCAGUCUAGUGCAGCCCAAGUGAGUCACUCUUCUAAAGUUUGGGUGCUGGUGACUGCACUAGUGAUCACAGAGUGAUGGAUCUAAGAGGGACACUGAUGUUACAAAGUGCAGAGUUGUGGGCUUUGCUUAAUUUUUAUAAUGUCACAUCAAUAUGUUAUGACAUUAAAUAACACGAGAUGUUUCAUUCCCCUCUUCCUCAUCAAUCAGCUAAUGUUGGCCUUGAUUCUGCAAAAGCCCUUGCUCUGUGCCCACACUAAGGCUACAUGUGCCCACAUGUGCUACAUGUGCCCACACUAAGGCUAAGCACUCUGUACUGAGCAUUCGUGAAUCUCAAGACCUGACACUUCCACUCUCUUACUCAUAAGAGUCCAGGGUAAAAAGGGCAGGGAGAGGGUAGGGAACAGGCAUGGAUUUAAGAACAAUCCUUAUCCUAUUAAGAGGUAUUUAGUAGGGAUGUCAAUUAAUCACAGUUAACUCACGUGCAAUUGCACUGUUAAACAACAGAAUACCAAUUUAAAUUUAUUAAAUAUUUGUGGAUGUUUUUCUGCAUUUUCAAAUAUUUUGAUU